ensembl:lncRNA
CCGCAACGUAACAAAAUGUUUGACUAGCAGGCUUCUUGUUUGAAAGCCCAUAUCAGCAAGAGACUGUAAAAAGGCGGCCUCUCCAGGGUGUUUCCUACCUUCCACCAAAUGCACACUGGGAUAGGCUCCAGCACCCGGGGGAUGCCUGUGCUUAGAUGAUGAUUUUUCACAGUGUUUGAGGCAGAAAAGGAGGGAAAUAAAUGCUUGCCUAACAUCAGUAGGAGCGUGGUCUCAUCUGUACCAGACGAAAACCUUUAGGACAGUUACUGUAAAAAAAGGAGCCAUUUGCAGGAGUGAACAAGGUUCUCCAAGACUCCAUUGUUCCUUUCCGUGCAGAAGACUUGCAAAGUAUCCAAGUAUUCGUCUCACACAACAUAAACUUCAAUCACCAAGUCCACCGCAAGAGGAGUUUGAGCACAAGAAGAAAAUGGUGCAGCAAGUUCCAAGAACAGCCGCUAGGAUGCAGUUUUACGACGUUUCAGUUUGCAAUAGUUUAUAAUACCUUUGGCAUACCAGGUCAAACUGUAUUUCUCAAGUUGGGAUUUUUGCCCCUUGUCUUAAUUCAUGUUAUUUAAUGCUUAAUCUGUUUGACUUUCAUUGUUUAACAUUUUAGUAAUGCUCCAGGGCACUUUAGCAAAACUAAAACUGAAGACCUAGGAAGACAAAAAAAUCAAAGAACGCAUAGCUGAAAUUAAUGCAGAUCUUAAAAUACACAGGGUAGGACUGCAGGAACCAAUAUCUGAAGUUGAACAAGAGGUGAGGCGAGCAGAAAGGGUCCAACAGAAAAAAUGCUUGAGUUCAGGAGGGAUGAAAUAGCAAGAAAGGAAAGGAAGUUUAUGUUCACAUAUGUAAACUUCAAAGCAGAGGUUCAGUUCAUCAGAUCUAAACUUAAGGAAGAAUGCUCUAAAACUGAAUUAGGUAAAAUGAUAAUAGCUGCAGAAAAGUAUGAGUUGGAACUAAAAGAAGAAUAUUAGAGUUUACAUGUACUAGCCACCCCGC